AACAGGGAUUCCCCUAGUAACUGCGAGUGAAGCGGGAAGAGCUCAAAUUUGAAAUCUGGCGGCCCCGCCGUCCGAGUUGUAUUCUGGAGAAGCGUCUUCCGCGCCGGACCGUGUACAAGUCCCUUGGAACAGGGCGUCGUAGAGGGUGAGAAUCCCGUCUCUGACACGGACCCCCGGUGCUAUGUGAUGCGCUCUCGACGAGUCGAGUUGUUUGGGAAUGCAGCUCAAAAUGGGUGGUAAAUUCCAUCUAAAGCUAAAUAUUGGCGAGAGACCGAUAGCGAACAAGUACCGUGAGGGAAAGAUGAAAAGCACUUUGGAAAGAGAGUAAAACAGUACGUGAAAUUGUUGAAAGGGAAACGCUUGAAGUCAGUCGCGUCUGCUGGAACUCAGCCUUGCUUCUGCUUGGUGCACUUUCCGGUACGACGGGCCAGCAUCGGUUUUGGGCGGCGGACACUGGNGUGGGGAAGGUGGCAGCUCCGGCUGUGUUAUAGCCCCUCNUCGCAAACGUCGUCUGGGACCGAGGAAUCCGGCGAAAGCCUGGGAUGCUGGCGUAAUGGCUUUAAGCGACCCGUCUUGAAACACGGACCAAGGAGUGCUACGUGCUCGCGAGUGUUUGGGUGGAAAACCCGAGCGCGAAAUGAAAGUGAAAGUCGAUACCCCUAGCGGGGGCACCGACGCCCGAGCCUGAUGUUUUCGGAAGGCCUUGCGGUAGAGCGAGUGCGUUGCGACCCGAAAGAUGGUGAACUAUUCCUGAGGAGGGCGAAGCCAGAGGAAACUCUGGUGGAGGCUCGUAGCGGUUCUGACGUGCAAAUCGAUCGCAGGACUUGGGUAUAGGGGCGAAAGACUAAUCCGAC
rnacentral:rRNA from 1 species